rnacentral:rRNA from 1 species
GAUGAACGCUGGCGGCGUGCCUAAUACAUGCAAGUCGAGCGAACAGAUAAGGAGCUUGCUCCUUUGACGUUAGCGGCGGACGGGUGAGUAACACGUGGGUAACCUACCUAUAAGACUGGGAUAACUUCGGGAAACCGGAGCUAAUACCGGAUAACAUUUGGAACCGCAUGGUUCUAUAGUGAAAGAUGGUUUUGCUAUCACUUAUAGAUGGACCCGCGCCGUAUUAGCUAGUUGGUAAGGUAACGGCUUACCAAGGCAACGAUACGUAGCCGACCUGAGAGGGUGAUCGGCCACACUGGAACCGAGACACGGGCCAGACUCCUAAGGGAGGCAGGAGGAGGGAAUCUUCCGCAAUGGGGGAAAGCCUGACGGAGCAACGCCGCGGGAGUGAUGAAGGGUUUCGGCUCGUAAAACCUUGUUAUUAGGGAAGAAAAAAUGUGGAAGUAAAUGUGCACGUUUUGACGGUACCUAAUCAGAAAGCCACGGCUAACUACGUG